rnacentral:rRNA from 1 species
AGUGAAAGCGGAGACUUUGUGAGGAUACCCGAGGCGGAAGGGGGAACAUGGACAAUUCGUGACGCUAAGGCACGAAGGCGUGGGGACCAAAAAGGAUUAGAUACCCCCGUAGUCCACGCCCUUAAACGGUGCACANUAAGUCUUGGCGGAUUUGACCCCCCCAGGCCCCAGGUAACGCGUUAAGUGUGCCGCCUGAGGANUACGGCCGCAAGGCUAAAACUCAAAGGAAUUGANCGGGGGCCCGCACAAGCGGUGGAGUAUGUGGCUCAAUUCGAUGCAACGCGAAGAACCUUACNUAGCCUUGACAUGCAUUAGACCGGCGCUGAAAGGCGCCUUCCCUUCGGGGCUGGUGCACAGGUGCUGCAUGGCUGUCGUCAGCUCGUGUCGUGAGAUGUUGCGUUAAGUCGCGCAACGAGCGCAACCCCUGUCCUUAGUUGCCAUCAUUCAGUUGGGUACUCUAGGGAGACAAACCCUCUUUGAGGGUGGGAAGGUGGGGAUGACGUCAAGUCAGGAUGGCCCUUACGGCUAGGGCUGCACACGUACUACAAUGCCCGGUACAGAGGGAAGCAAUGCCGCGAGGUGGAGCAAAUCCUCAAAACCGGGCCCAGUUCAGAUUGUAGUCUGCAACUCGACUACAUGAAGUUGGAAUCGCUAGUAAUGGCGCAUCAGCUACGGCGCCGUGAAUACGUUCCCGGGCCUUGUACACACCGCCCGUCACGUCAUGAAAGCCGGUUUCGCCCGAAGUGGCGUUUGCCAACCAGCAAUGGAGGCGGCGCCCCUAGGUGAGGCUGGUGAUUGGGACGAAGUCGUAACAAGGUAAAUCGAAUUCCCGCGGCC